rnacentral:rRNA from 1 species
CGAGAAAGCCCGCAAGGGUGAGUAAAGCGGCGCACGGGUGCGUAACACGUGGGUAAUCUGCCCUGAAGUCCGGAAUAACUCGCCGAAAGGCGUGCUAAUGCCGGAUGAGACCACGGGAGCUCCGGCUCCUGCGGGAAAAGGUGGCCUCUGUACACAAGCUAUCUCUUCAGGAUGAGCCCGCGGCCCAUCAGCUAGUUGGCGGGGUAAUGGCCCACCAAGGCUACGACGGGUAGCUGGUCUGAGAGGACGAUCAGCCACACUGGAACUGAGACACGGUCCAGACUCCUACGGGAGGCAGCAGUGGGGAAUCUUGCGCAAUGGGCGAAAGCCUGACGCAGCAACGCCGCGUGUGUGAUGAAGGUCUUCGGAUCGUAAAGCACUGUCGCGAGGGACG